GGGGCCGUGGGCUAGCCAGGCUAGGCUGCCAGCCUUGGGAGCUGGUGGUCCCGGGUUCAAAUCCCGGCGGCCCCACCA
rnacentral:tRNA from 1 species